rnacentral:lncRNA from 1 species
AGCACACUUGUCAAAAUUUUAUUAAUCUGUUUGAAUUUAUAUUUAAAAGAUAUUUAAAUCAGACCAAUCAUAAACGGUAUGCAUUGUCAAAAAAUUAUAAAAAAAGGUUGUUAAAAGAUUUUUCAUAUAUAUAUAAAUAUAUAUAUAUAUAUAAAUGAAGUAAUAUGAAAAAUCUUAUAUUAUUUCAAUUACAAUUGUAACAAUCUUUUUUUCUUCCCUAUACACGAAUUUAUCAUGCGCUGCCAUUUAUUCUUAUUCAAAUGUGUCGUUUUUUUUGUUUUGUUGUAAUUUUUCCCAUCUUUGAAUGUCUUUUCUUCCCUCAGGCGUUUUUCUCCCUCCAUUUAUUCAAUCUUUCUAUUAUUUCUUUUUUUCUACCCUUGUCCUAAGCAUUUUUAUUUUUUAUACACUCCCCUG